GAAAAAAAUAGCUGCAAUUGUUGUAACGCGAGCUAUGAAAGACAACCUGCAUCUGCACCUGUGGUCACUGGGCCUCACAUCAUGUUUGCAGCAUGUUCUGAACCACAAACAGAGCAGUGAUAAAGUUUCUUGGAACUGGUGGGCUAGUGAUGUAGACACUGAUGCUAGUGAUUAUUUAAGGUGGGGCUACUGAAAUGUUUAAAAACUGAAGCCCCCAAAGUGCUUUUUGUUGCUCUGUGACACAAAUGAGCUCCAACCUGCUCAGGUAGAAUUUAAUAACAGCUGAGCUGCACUAGACCUGGUCUCUGCUCAUCUUGACUCCUCGUUUGAGCAUUUCAUUUACUGAAGACAUCUUCACCACCUGGUGUUCCAGACGACUGACUAGUGCCUGAACUCCUGCAGGUUAAUCAACCAACCACUCAUCAGUAAAGCAAAAAGCACAGAAACAAUGAGGAUCCUGUUUACCUGUUUGCUGCUCAUGCUGCUCUUUGCCACUGGACUUUCAAAACCAGCCAAUCUUAAACCCAAACCAAUUGACAAGCGUCAGAAUGAA